GAAGACUUACUCCUCGUUGUUUGAUGGCUUUGUUGAGCAUCUUAACGACAUCCAUGCCCUCCACCCCGCUCGCCUUGAAGCGCUUUGUCCACGUUAUCAGGGUACUCUACACACAGACAAAGCAAAGCCUCAACAGGAAAGAUUGGCACAAGGAUGGAUAACAGGACAUACGGGGAAGGAGAAGGUGAAGCCAACUGGCAGCUUCUUGUCUUUAAUGUUGUGUUUUUCCAUGAAGUCACCCAGACACUCGGCCACAUGGUCAAAUAACUGGAAUGGGGAGGAGGAGAUUUGGCUCUCCAUCUGAACUGUCUGCUUCUUCUCGUGACUCACUCGGACACGAAGGAUCCUGAAGGCACUUCCUCCCAAAUCCAAUGCGAUGAAAUCUCCUUUUUCUGUAGAAACACAAGAAACAAGUUGGCAGAGAGGAAGAAGGGAUCGUGGGAAAUACAGCCAUCCCUCACCAAUUCUGUGGGUUAUCUCUAUCACAUAGAAGCACAUUGUACUGUUUAUUUAGCCUAAAUUAAAACUAAAAUACAAAUAAGACUGUAUUAAGAAGAUGCAUUCAAAGAUUGCUGUCCAUAAUGUUUGAUGAGAUACACCAGACUUGGGUGCUGCAAAAACAGGUUUUAACAGCCACAAUAAUCCCCAAUACAAGCUACCGCUGCCGCGCUAACUCACGGCAAGCUAAAACUCAACUC